rnacentral:tRNA from 1 species
AAGACUUUAAGUUAAAAAAACUAAUAGCCUUCAAAGCUAUCAAUAAAUGUAAUAAUCCUUUAAGUCUUA